rnacentral:rRNA from 1 species
AAAACAUCUUUUCUUGUUAGUUUUUGAAGUAUGGCCUGCCCGCUGACAUUCGGUGUUGAAGGGCCGCGGUAUCUUGACCGUGCAAAGGUAGCAUAAUCAUUAGUUCUUUAAUUGUGAUCUGGAAUGAAUGGCUUGACGAGGCACGGGCUGUCUUAGUGUUGAAUGUUUUAUUGAAUUUGGUCUUCGAGUUAAAAUUCUUAGAUGUUUUUGUGGGACGAGAAGACCCUAUAGAGUUUGACAUUUGGUUUAUUUACUUGUUUGUUGUUUGUUUAUUUUUGGUGAGUGGGCUUUUUGUUUUGUUGGGGUGAUGGGAGGAAUGUACUUAACUCCUCUUAGUUUUGGUUAUAUUGAUUUAUAAUUGUUUGAUCCAUUUAUUUUGAUUAUAAGAUUAAAUUACCUUAGGGAUAACAGCGU